rnacentral:rRNA from 1 species
UACGUAGGUGGCAAGCGUUGUCCGGAUUUACUGGGCGUAAAGGGCGUGCAGGCGGUCUGUUAAGUGCAGGGUGAAAGCUCCCGGCUCAACUGGGAGAGGUCCUUGCAUACUGGCGGACUUGAGGGGGGUAGAGGAAAGUGGAAUUCCCGGUGUAGCGGUGAAAUGCGCAGAUAUCGGGAAGAACACCCGUGGCGAAGGCGGCACUCUGGGACGGUACUGACGCUGAGACGCGAAAGCGUGGGGAGCGAACAGG